AAAUAUUAAGGUAUGAUUUGUUCCCAAAUCUAUUAUCUUCAACAAAUUUGUUUUCCAAAAUCUCCAAACUGCAAUUAUCUUGGAAGCCAAAACCUUCUCUCACGGGGAUAUACCAAAACACAUGGGGCAGAUUCACGCGCUGGAAAAUACAAAAUCGAAUACUGAAGCAUGGCAGAUGAUUGGAUUGCAGUGGACAAGCUCCUACACUUUCUCAUGUGUUUCGUCAUUGCCACUGUAUCUGCAUUCACAAUAAGACUCACACUCAAUCACACCAAAAUCUUGCACAGAUGGGCCGUUUGUGUGGGAUGCAUUCUAGCUCUCACGGCCGGGGCUGCCAAAGAAGUGGCGGAUGAAAUGGGCAUUUGGCCUUCUGCUGGUGCUUCCGUCAAAGACGCUAUUGCUGAUGGAGCAGGGGUUCUAUUUGCUGCACUCCUCUUGCAUUUCUUCAAACCCAAGGGAGCUAAACAAAUCAAUGAGGAGAUUCCUUUACACGGGCCUAUGAUUGUCUGAUGCCAACGGAAUUCGCAGUACUUUUAUGCUGCACCCAUUUGCUGAUUGUUUGUAUUCAAAUUGGUCUUAGAUCUGCUGGGUCUCAACCAAUAAACUAUUUCAAUUGGAGACGUGUUCAGGCACAGCACGGAGCAGUUGAGGGGUAGAGUUUUCAUUGCUCUCUCUCGGUUUUUCCUUUUUCCAUUGGGCGACUCAAUAACAUGCCACGAGAUGCCACUGAGAAGGCGGACAAGUGACCCAAAGUUGCCCAAGACUUAGCACCCAACCUUACCCUUUUGAUUCAGAUGCCAUGCAAUUCACUUGCUAGAUAGAUUAUUUUAUUUGAUGAGCUUUGUACUAUUAAACAGGGUCCUCUCAACAACUUUCGCUGACCAUUCUACAAGAUGGAGAUAUCCGCAUUGAUUCAAUUGGACCUGCAUAAGCUUUUCCAUCUUUACAUUGGAAUACCGGCUAAUGAAUGGUUUUGAGGCAUCUAAGAGGAUCCCAUUAAUAAUCUUGCCUUGGACCAACCUGAUGGAGAGUGAUAUCCUCAAUCAGUUCAAUAGAAUGGGGAGCAAUUUCUUAAAUUGCUACUGUGGAUAUUUCAAUCACGAUGGUUUAUAUUGUAUAAAAUGCAUCCUAAAUGGUAACCUGGCUGAUUGAACGGAAGUAUGUCAAACUCAACACUGGUCCAAUACGCAGUUCACACCAUAGUUUAAAUAAAGAGAUUGACAUAUCUUCACGAAAAGUGAUAGACAUGUGUAAGAAUCCAUGAUGAGCCCUACACCAUGCUUCGUAUACCAUAGAUAAUUUUUCUGUGAUGGCUGGACACCAGGAAAAGAUUUUGGGGAUGCGGUGGGAGGUAUUUAGCCGGAAUGUCUAGGGGGCUACAGAAACACGUGCCGAAUAGCCUCACGAUCUAUUGAAUACAGGGCCGUAACCAAGUUGCUCGAGUCUUGCACCCAGCCUUAUCUCUUUUAUUCACAUGUAAUUUGGAUGGGUAGAGUGGAGCUGGAAUAGAAAUCCGGUGGAUGAAAACACUGCUAUGAUGCACCAGUGAAUUGAUCUUUUUCUUUCUCUUCAAUUAAAGCUGCUCCCAGUUACAUAUUUUUACAAUUUAAUAGUAAACACUGCAAUAUAGCACAUGCAAUGUUCUAGUCAUUGAAUGCUUUACCAGAAGGAUUGUGACUAUAAAAUCAUUUAUAUCUAUCAGGAUUGGCUAGGGAGCUCCUCACGAUAGUCCCUAUGCAUCACAGGUACCAACAGGGUUUCAUGCUUUGUUACUUAAGCAUCCAUACCAGUUUCUGGUGAACAUCAGGGUUCGUCUCAAUACCAACUGAUUUUUACUACUACUAGUACAAGCUAAGAUUGAGAAUAAGGUAAUUGAAUUGGUGAUAAGCUGAUUUUGAAGCAUAUGAGGCAUAUGUGACAAAAAGUAGGAUGCCAAGCAUGAAGCAAUAAAUCAAGGUGGGAGAGACCAUUUUCAGGGUAUGAUGGUUAUGUUAGCUCUUGGAUGGGUAUAUUCAGCUUUAUGUGCUCAUUGUUUAAGUAUUUAGAAUUUUCUUUGCAAGUAUUAUAAUUUCUAAUUCCUUUUUCCUCACUGUUACUCGUUCG